UAGGCGGAACUGUAUCUUUUUUCUUUACAUCUUGGUUCAUUACCUUUUUAUAUAAUUUUAUCCAUGUUAGGUUACCCCUCGAAUCGGUAUAUUGCAAUCGAAAGAAGCAAACUUCACGUAGGCCAAUUGUCUUAACAACUUAAUUGAAGAGCUGUUUGCCGCUGAACAUGGUCAGAGCGCGCUCAGCGAGAUCAGAAUAAAAUGAAUGAAUGCAAAACCUUACAAAAUAUGAAAAGUAGUGGAUGAGAGUAGUCGCUGCAGUACUGAAUUUAACCAACAUAUUUUUUAUUACAUCUUGAAAGAGGCAGACUAACAAAACUGAAAAAGUUACAUGAAAGACUUAAACUUGAAUAAAAUGGAAAACCUUUUUUUUUUGGCAACGGAUGAUUCGCAAAAAGACUACAAAAGCAUCCCGAAACUAUUCCAGCCAGAUCGUUGUUUCAUCAAAGAAACCUAAAAUCCAAUAUUCGGCUGUUUUGUCGGAAAAGCGUUUUGGAAAACUACGCAAUUGGAAAAUAUUCCACCCGAGCAAUAAUUGGAGAUUAAACAAUGAAUGCUCAAUGCAUUUAUCCAGGAGCAAGAAAAAUCCGUUCGCAAUGCCAUUGCGCAGCUUAUUGGUGUUUCGAUUCAUUAUGAAAAGAAGGGAUAAUGGAUCCAAGAGGUCUUGCAAUUUGUAUACAGCAAUUGCAGUUCGGUUGAUCGAAAACAAAGUGAAUUGGGAUCAUCGAUCUUUGCUCAAUAACCGAUGUAGCACCAGAACAAUUUGUCGCUCUCAUGAAAUCUAUUAUAGUGAUAUUUUGACCGCUGCUUUAACUGCUACCAAAACCAGUGGAAAUAUGGCUACUCUUCUCACAAUCAAAGUGGAGAUGAAUAUAUCAGCAGUAUGGAGGAAAUCCAAAGGCAACUAAAUGAAAAACAGCAUACAAUCUUUGAGAUAAAUGCUGCUAGGUGAAUAAAAUGCAAAAUUCGUUGGAGAAAUUGCAUCACUUCAACAAGAAAACGAUAAGCUAGAAGGCGAAAAGAAUUUUCUCAAAUCGAAAUUAGAUCAAAUGAAGGCUGAGUUCCAUUUGGACAUAAUCAAAGCCCUGGAAGGUAAAAAUGCUGAAAUAAAACGUCUGCAGACUGUUAGUAUGGGCCUUCGAACUAAGUGUGAUGAAGGGCAUAGAAAAUGUGCUAUUACGGGUAAAUUUGAAGUGUAUUUGUUUAUAAAAAUAAAAUAUUGUAUAAAUAA